rnacentral:rRNA from 1 species
AAAUCCGGUUCACUUUAACACUGAGGCGUGACGACGAGGCACUACGGUGCUGAAGCAACAAAUGCCCUGCUUCCAGGAAAAGCCUCUAAGCAUCAGGUAACAUCAAAUCGUACCCCAAACCGACACAGGUGGUCAGGUAGAGAAUACCAAGGCGCUUGAGAGAACUCGGGUGAAGGAACUAGGCAAAAUGGUGCCGUAACUUCGGGAGAAGGCACGCUGACACGUAGGUGAAGUGAUUUACUCAUGGAGCUGAAGUCAGUCGAAGAUACCAGCUGGCUGCAACUGUUUAUUAAAAACACAGCACUGUGCAAACACGAAAGUGGACGUAUACGGUGUGACGCCUGCCCGGUGCCGGAAGGUUAAUUGAUGGGGUCAGCGCAAGCGAAGCUCCUGAUCGAAGCCCCGGUAAACGGCGGCCGUAACUAUAACGGUCCUAAGGUAGCGAAAUUCCUUGUCGGGUAAGUUCCGACCUGCACGAAUGGCGUAAUGAUGGCCAGGCUGUCUCCACCCGAGACUCAGUGAAAUUGAACUCGCUGUGAAGAUGCAGUGUACCCGCGGCAAGACGGAAAGACCCCGUGAACCUUUACUAUAGCUUGACACUGAACAUUGAGCCUUGAUGUGUAGGAUAGGUGGGAGGCUUUGAAGUGUGGACGCCAGUCUGCAUGGAGCCGACCUUGAAAUACCACCCUUUAAUGUUUGAUGUUCUAACGUGGACCCGUUACCCGGGUUGCGGACAGUGUCUGGUGGGUAGUUUGACUGGGGCGGUCUCCUCCUAAAGAGUAACGGAGGAGCACGAAGGUUGGCUAAUCCUGGUCGGACAUCAGGAGGUUAGUGCAAUGGCAUAAGCCAGCUUGACUGCGAGCGUGACGGCGCGAGCAGGUGCGAAAGCAGGUCAUAGUGAUCCGGUGGUUCUGAAUGGAAGGGCCAUCGCUCAACGGAUAAAAGGUACUCCGGGGAUAACAGGCUGAUACCGCCCAAGAGUUCAUAUCGACGGCGGUGUUUGGCACCUCGAUGUCGGCUCAUCACAUCCUGGGGCUGAAGUAGGUCCCAAGGGUAUGGCUGUUCGCCAUUUAAAGUGGUACGCGAGCUGGGUUUAGAACGUCGUGAGACAGUUCGGUCCCUAUCUGCCGUGGGCGCUGGAGAACUGAGGGGGGCUGCUCCUAGUACGAGAGGACCGGAGUGGACGCAUCACUGGUGUUCGGGUUGUCAUGCCAAUGGCACUGCCCGGUAGCUAAAUGCGGAAGAGAUAAGUGCUGAAAGCAUCUAAGCACGAAACUUGCCCCGAGAUGAGUUCUCCCUGAGACUUAAAGUCUCCUGAAGGAACGUUGAAGACGACGACGUUGAUAGGCCGGGUGUGUAAGCG